rnacentral:rRNA from 1 species
ACAAGCGGUGGAUGAUGUGGAUUAAUCGAUGCAACGCGAAAACCUUACCUACCCUUGACAUGUCCGGAAUCCCGAAGAGAUUUGGGAGUGCUCGCAAGAGAACCGGAACACAGGUGCUGCAUGGCUGUCGUCAGCUCGUGUCGUGAGAUGUUGGGUUAAGUCCCGCAACGAGCGCAACCCUUGUCAUUAGUUGCCAUCAUUUGGUUGGGCACUCUAAUGAGACUGCCGGUGACAAACCGGAGGAAGGUGGGGAUGACGUCAAGUCCUCAUGGCCCUUAUGGGUAGGGCUUCACACGUCAUACAAUGGUCGGUACAGAGGGUUGCCAACCCGCGAGGGGGAGCUAAUCCCACAAAGCCGAUCGUAGUCCGGAUCGUUCUCUGCAACUCGAGAGCAUGAAGUCGGAAUCGCUAGUAAUCGCAGGUCAGCAUACUGCGGUGAAUACGUUCCCGGGUCUU